UAGAGUUUGAUCAUGGCUCAGAUUGAACGCUGGCGGCAGGCCUAACACAUGCAAGUCGAGCGGUAGAGAGAAGCUUGCUUCUCUUGAGAGCGGCGGACGGGUGAGUAAUGCCUAGGAAUCUGCCUGGUAGUGGGGGAUAACGUUCGGAAACGGACGCUAAUACCGCAUACGUCCUACGGGAGAAAGCAGGGGACCUUCGGGCCUUGCGCUAUCAGAUGAGCCUAGGUCGGAUUAGCUAGUUGGUGGGGUAAUGGCUCACCAAGGCGACGAUCCGUAACUGGUCUGAGAGGAUGAUCAGUCACACUGGAACUGAGACACAGUCCAGACUCCUACGGGAGGCAGCAGUGGGGAAUAUUGGACAAUGGGCGAAAGCCUGAUCCAGCCAUGCCGCGUGUGUGAAGAAGGUCUUCGGAUUGUAAAGCACUUUAAGUUGGGAGGAAGGGUUGUAGAUUAAUACUCUGCAAUUUUGACGUUACCGACAGAAUAAGCACCGGCUAACUCUGUGCCAGCAGCCGCGGUAAUACAGAGGGUGCAAGCGUUAAUCGGAAUUACUGGGCGUAAAGCGCGCGUAGGUGGUUUGUUAAGUUGGAUGUGAAAUCCCCGGGCUCAACCUGGGAACUGCAUUCAAAACUGACUGACUAGAGUAUGGUAGAGGGUGGUGGAAUUUCCUGUGUAGCGGUGAAAUGCGUAGAUAUAGGAAGGAACACCCAGUGGCGAAGGCGACCACCUGGACUAAUACUGACACUAGGCAAGCG
rnacentral:rRNA from 1 species